UUCCGGUUGAUCCNGCCGGACCUGACUGCUAUCGGAUUGAUACUAAGCCAUGCGAGUCAUUGUAGCAAUACAAGGCAUACGGCUCAGUAACGCGUAGUCAACCNAACCUAUGGACGGGAAUAACCUCGGGAAACUGAGAAUAAUGCCCGAUAGAACACUAUACCUGGAAUGGUUUGUGNUCCAAAUGAUUUAUCGCCAUAGGAUGGGACUGCGGCCUAUCNGUUUGUUGGUGAGGUAAUGGCCCACCAAGACUAUUACAGGUACGGGCUCUGAGAGGAGUAGCCCGGAGAUGGGUACUGAGACACGGACCCAGGCCCUAUGGGGCGCAGCAGGCGAGAAAACUUUGCAAUGUGCGAAAGCACGACAAGGUUAAUCCGAGUGAUUUGUGCUAAACGAAUCUUUUGUUAGUCCUAGAAACACUAACGAAUAAGGGGUGGGCAAGUUCUGGUGUCAGCCGCCGCGGUAAAACCAGCACCUCAAGUGGUCAGGAUGAUUAUUGGGCCUAAAGCAUCCGUAGCCGGCUCUGUAAGUUUUCGGUUAAAUCUGUACGCUUAACGUACAGGCUGCCGGGAAUACUGCAAAGCUAGGGAGUGGGAGAGGUAGACGGUACUCGGUAGGAAGUGGUAAAAUGCUUUGAUCUAUCGAUGACCACCUGUGGCGAAGGCGGUCUACCAGAACACGUCCGACGGUGAGGGAUGAAAGCUGGGGGAGCAAACCGGAUUAGAUACCCGGGUAGUCCCAGCUGUAAACUAUGCAAACUCAGUGAUGCAUUGGCUUGUGGCCAAUGCAGUGCUGCAGGGAAGCCGUUAAGUUUGCCGCCUGGGAAGUACGUACGCAAGUAUGAAACUUAAAGGAGUUGGCGGGGGAGCACCACAAGGGGUGAAGCCUGCGGUUCAAUUGGAUUCAACGCCGGG
rnacentral:rRNA from 1 species